rnacentral:rRNA from 1 species
AUUAAGGUCCUGCCUGCCCAGUGAAAUUUCAACGGCCGCGGUAUCAUAACCGUGCAAAGGUAGCGUAAUCACUUGCCCCCUAAAUAGGGGCCCGUAUGAACGGCUAAAUGAGGGCAAACCUGUCCCCUUAGACUACUCAAUGAAACUGAUCUAUCAGUACAAAAGCUGAUAUACACCCAUAAGACGAGAAGACCCUGUGGAGCUUUAAACUCAAACACUACCCUUAACCAACCACCCUGGCCCUGGCCAUAAAACACGCUCCAAAAUAGUGUUAGUUUUAAGUUGGGGCGACUGCGGAACAAAACAAAACUUCCAUAAUACAGGCUCCCCCCCAUCAAAGACCUACAAGUCAAAGAAAAACACCAUUGACCCAGUUAAUACUGAUCGCCGAACCAAGUUACCCCAGGGAUAACAGCGCCAUCCCCUUUAAGAGUCCCUAUCGCUAAGGGGGCUUACGACCUCGAUGUUGGAUCAGGACCCCCAGGUGGUGCAGCCGCUACCAAAGGUUCGUUUGUUCAACGAUUAAUGUCCUACGUGAUC